GGGCUGUUAGCUCAGUCGGUAGAGCAGUGGGCUGUUAACCCACGUGUCACAGGUUCAAGUCCUGUAUAGCCCGCCA
rnacentral:tRNA from 1 species